GUCGUCACCAUGGAAACGGGGGUGCAGGCCGUACCAUUGUGCCGGCGGAAAGAGGAGCGCGGCCCCUCCGCCCGGCAGCAAUGGUGAGACCCCACACUGGAAUCCUCCCCGAUUGCCUCAGUGGGGUUGGAACAAGGGGCUCACCCCAUGGAGAACCUGCCAGUGUCACUCUUUUGAAGAGGAUAGCUAGGAAUGAACAGCUGUCCCAGAAAACUCCCUAAGGAUAAAGCAUGAGGAGCAUAUACAUCCUUUAAGAUGAGCAGGAGAGGCAGCAGGAGGAGAUACAGCUGCCAGAAGGAGUGGGAGGUCCUGCCAGAUGGACUUUGCACUCUCUGAAGGAGAAGAAACUGAGCUACCUUGAUGAGCAGUGGAAAUAAAUCCCACCCAAGCCCUA